GACAGAGGGUGCAAACGUUGUUCGGAAUUACUGGGCGUAAAGCGUGUGUAGGCGGUUUGGCAAGUCGGAUGUGAAAGCCCCGGGCUCAACUCGGGAAGUGCACUCGAUACUGCUAAACUUGAGUGUCGGAGAGGUUGGUGGAAUUCUCGGUGUAGAGGUGAAAUUCGCAGAUAUCGAGAGGAACACCGGUGGCGAAGGCGGCCAACUGGACGAACACUGACGCUGAGACACGAAAGCGUGGGGAGCAAACAGG
rnacentral:rRNA from 1 species